CCCUUAGAUGUUCUGGGCCGCACGCGCGCUACACUGAUGCAUUCAACGAGUUUCUUCCUGGUCCGAGAGGAAUGGGUAACCUUUUGAAAGUGCAUCGUGAUAGGGAUAGACUAUUGCAAUUAUUGGUCUUCAACGAGGAAUUCCUAGUAGACGUAGUUCAUCAGACUGCAUCGAUUACGUCCCUGCCCUUUGUACACACCGCCCGUCGCACCUACCGAUUGAAUGCUCAGGUGAGCCAUUCGGACUUUCAUCAUGCUGGUUUCCAGUUUUGAUGAAGGAAAGUCUUGCGAACCUUAUCAUUUAGAGGAAGGAGAAGUCGUAACA
rnacentral:rRNA from 1 species